rnacentral:rRNA from 1 species
UACAUGUGGGGCAAGCGUUGUUCGGAAUUACUGGGCGUAAAGGGUGCGCAGGCGGUGAUGUAAGACAGGUGUGAAAUCCCCGGGCUUAACCUGGGAACUGCAUUUGUGACUGCAUCGCUGGAGUGCGGCAGAGGGGGAUGGAAUUCCGCGUGUAGCAGUGAAAUGCGUAGAUAUGCGGAGGAACACCGAUGGCGAAGGCAAUCCCCUGGGCCUGCACUGACGCUCAUGCACGAAAGCGUGGGGAGCAAACAGG